CAAAGUACACUUCAGGCACUAAAACUAUGUGGCCUUCAGUAGUUGAACCUACUUCUGACUACAAGCUGAAUCCCACAGCUUCUUCAGACUCAACCUCACAUGGUCUCUUCCACAGAAUCCUUCCUGAUUCUAUGAAAACAAAGGGAGACUCAGGACCACACAUAAUACCAAUUUAUCCAAAUAUCACCGACACUAAUUUACUGAAGAAUUCAUCUGGCGUACAUGCAAGCAAACAAAUUUCCUGAUGUUUCUAAAGGAAACACAGCUCAUAGGAAUAGGUAAGUAUCAGCUAUUCCCAUCAUGGGUUGGAUGAGCUACUCCAAUCCCAGGACCCAGGGUUGGUUCCCAGAACCCACAUGGCUGCUGACCACCACCUGCAACUCCAGUUCCAGAGGAUCCAACACAUCACCUUAAUUCCAAACCUGGAGGUUUGAAGGUUUCUGUCCCUGAGACAUCGAACCACCCACACAAAUUCAGAAAUACCAAGAAAUGGAGAUCAAGAUGCCAAGCCCUACCUCUGGAAAAUCUCCUGCAGCGUUUCCCGCGUGAAGGCGUUGCUGUCCUGGAAGACGUUGUUGAGGGCGUGAAGAGCACAGAGCUCCCUGCGCUGCUUCUCAUGGUAGAUUUGUGGGGGUGCUGCCUGGGGGAGCUCCAAGGAUUCCGAUUUGGCCUUGUCUCCUUUCCAUGGCACGCAACUCAUGUUUUUCGAUUCAGGUUCCAGGCAGAGCCGAUAAACGCCCCGCUCCUUUCCUCCUGAGGAAAGUCUAGGUUUCUCUGUCUUCAGAUUCCUGAGGUUCACCUAUUCUCUGGUGUCCAUGAUUUAUGCUUUGUCACUGAAGGUUGAAAUCAAAAGGGACCAAAAAACAAAAAAAACAAAAAAAAAACUA